rnacentral:rRNA from 1 species
AAAUGAAUUGACGGGGCCCGCGACAAGCGGUGGAGUAUGUGGUUUAAUUCGAUGCAACGCGAAGAACCUUACCUGGUCUUGACAUCCCGGAGACCCUUAGGAAACUAGGGGGUGCUUCCAUCUGGAAGAAUCUGGAGACAGGUGCUGCAUGGCUGUCGUCAGCUCGUGUCGUGAGAUGUUGGGUUAAGUCCCGCAACGAGCGCAACCCUUGCCUUUAGUUGCCAGCAGUUCGGCUGGGCACUCUAAAGGGACUGCCGGUGUUAAACCGGAGGAGGGUGGGGAUGACGUCAAGUCCUCAUGGCCUUUAUGACCAGGGCUACACACGUACUACAAUGGCCGAUACAAAGGGCAGCGACACUGCGAGGUGAAGCCAAUCCCGUAAAAUCGGUCUCAGUCCGGAUUGGAGUCUGCAACUCGACUCCAUGAAGUUGGAAUCGCUAGUAAUCGUGGAUCAGCAUGCCACGGUGAAUACGUUCCCGGGCCUU